GGCCCGCACAAGCGGUGGAGCAUGUGGUUUAAUUCGAUGAUACGCGAGGAACCUUACCUGGGCUCAAAUGUAAGUUGACAGUUUCUGAAAGGGAAUUUUCUUCGGACAAUUUACAAGGUGCUGCAUGGUUGUCGUCAGCUCGUGCCGUGAGGUGUCGGGUUAAGUCCCAUAACGAGCGCAACCCCUACUCUUAGUUGCCAUCAGAUAAUGCUGGGGACUCUAGGAGAACUGCCUACGCAAGUAGAGAGGAAGGUGGGGAUGACGUCAAAUCAGCACGGCCCUUACGUCCAGGGCUACACACGUGCUACAAUGGCCGGUACAGAGGGCAGCCACCUGGUGACAGGGAGCGAAUCUCUAAAGCCGGUCUCAGUUCGGAUCGAAGUCUGCAACCCGACUUCGUGAAGCUGGAAUCGCUAGUAAUCGCGCAUCAGCCAUGGCGCGGUGAAUACGUUCCCGGGCCUUGUACACACCGCCCGUCAAGCCAUGGAAGCUGGGGGUACCUGAAGUCGGUGACCAUUUAGGAGCCGCCUAGGGUAAAACUAGUGACUGGGGCUAAGUCGUAACAAGGUA
rnacentral:rRNA from 1 species